UGUGUGUGUGUGUGUGUGUGUGUGUGUGUGUGUUUAUAUACGUGCACACACACUCACUUACACACAUACACA